GACGAACGCUGGCGGCGUGCCUAACACAUGCAAGUCGUACGGUAAGGCCCUUUCGGGGGUACACGAGUGGCGAACGGGUGAGUAACACGUGAGUAACCUGCCCACAACUUUGGGAUAACGCUAGGAAACUGGUGCUAAUACUGGAUAUGUGCCCCUGCUGCAUGGUGGGGGUUGGAAAGCUCCGGCGGUUGUGGAUGGACUCGCGGCCUAUCAGCUUGUUGGUGGGGUAGUGGCCUACCAAGGCGGCGACGGGUAGCCGGCCUGAGAGGGUGACCGGCCACAUUGGGACUGAGAUACGGCCCAGACUCCUACGGGAGGCAGCAGUGGGGAAUAUUGCACAAUGGGCGCAAGCCUGAUGCAGCAACGCCGCGUGCGGGAUGACGGCCUUCGGGUUGUAAACCGCUUUCAGCAGGGACGAAGCUUUUUGUGACGGUACCUGCAGAAGAAGCACCGGCUAACUACGUG
rnacentral:rRNA from 1 species